ensembl:misc_RNA Metazoa_SRP Metazoan signal recognition particle RNA
GCUGGGCAUGGGUGUGCAUGCCUGUAAUCCCAGCUACUUGGGAGGCUGAGGUGGGAGAAUCGCUUGAACCCAGGAGGCAGAGGUUGCAGUGAGUGGAGAUGGUGCCACUGAACUCCAGCCUGGGUAACAGAGCAAGACUUCAUCUCAA